rnacentral:rRNA from 1 species
CCUACGGGAGGCAGCAGUGGGGAAUUUUGGACAAUGGACGAAAGUCUGAUCCAGCAAUGCCGCGUGCAGGACGAAGGCCUUCGGGUUGUAAACUGCUUUUGUACGGAACGAAAAAGUCUUUUUUAAUAAAGAAGGCUUAUGACGGUACCGUAAGAAUAAGCACCGGCUAACUACGUGCCAGCAGCCGCGGUAAUACGUAGGGUGCAAGCGUUAAUCGGAAUUACUGGGCGUAAAGCGUCCGCAGGCGGUUCUAUAAGACAGAUGUGAAAUCCCUGGGCUCAACCUAGGAACUGCAUUUGUGACUGUAGAGCUAGAGUACGGCAGAGGGGGAUGGAAUUCCGCGUGUAGCAGUGAAAUGCGUAGAUAUGCGGAGGAACACCGAUGGCGAAGGCAAUCCCCUGGGCCUGUACUGACGCUCAUGGACGAAAGCGUGGGGAGCAAACAGGAUUAGAUACCCUGGUAGUCCACGCCCUAAACGAUGUCAACUGGUUGUUGGGUCUUCAGUGACUCAGUAACGAAGCUAACGCGUGAAGUUGACCGCCUGGGGAGUACGGCCGCAAAGGUUGAAACGUUAAAUUGAAAUUGACGGCGNGNGAGNGCGAGACGACGACGAGGGAGAGG